rnacentral:misc_RNA from 1 species
GAUGAAGAACGUAGCGAAAUGCGAUAAGUAAUGUGAAUUGCAGAAUUCCGUGAAUCAUCGAAUCUUUGAACGCACAUUGCGCCCCCUGGCAUUCCGGGGGGCAUGCCUGUCCGAGCGUCAUUUCUGCCCUCCAGCCCGGCUGGGUGUUGGGCGCUGUCCCCCCUGGGACACGCCCCAAAGGCAGUGGCGGCGCCGCGUCGGGUCCUCGAGCGUAUGGGGCUUUGUCACCCGCUCGGGACGGACUCGUCGGCGCUGGUCUUCCUCCAGGCGACCCUUCGGGGCUCGUCUUCCUUCGGUUGACCUCGGAUCAGGUAGGGUUACCCGCUGAACUUAAGCAUAUCAAUAAGCGGAGGA